UACAGAGGGUGCUAGCGUUGUUCGGAAUCAUUGGGCGUAAAGGGCGUGUAGGCGGUUUGCUAAGUCAUGUGUGAAAUCCCUCGGCUUAACCGGGGAACGACGCAUGAAACUGGCAAGCUAGAGUACCAAAGAGGGGGGUGGAAUUCCCGGUGUAGCGGUGAAAUGCGUAGAGAUCGGGAGGAACACCUGUGGCGAAGGCGGCCCCCUGGGCCGGCCCUGACACUGAGACGCGAAGGCGUGGGGAGCGAACGGG
rnacentral:rRNA from 1 species